rnacentral:rRNA from 1 species
UACGUAGGUGGCAAGCGUUGUCCGGAUUUACUGGGCGUAAAGGGAGCGUAGGCGGAUUUUUAAGUGGGAUGUGAAAUACUCGGGCUCAACCUGAGUGCUGCAUUCCAAACUGGAGAUCUAGAGUGCAGGAGGGGAGAGUGGAAUUCCUAGUGUAGCGGUGAAAUGCGUAGAGAUUAGGAAGAACACCAGUGGCGAAGGCGACUCUCUGGACUGUAACUGACGCUGAGGCUAGAAAGCGUGGGGAGCAAACAGG